rnacentral:lncRNA from 1 species
UUUGGCUAGUGGGUUUGCAAUGAAUUCGGGUUUUGGUUGAAGUUUUUUAACUGAUCAUUUAUUUAUCUCUCUUUCCCUUUUAGUUUUCCUCAGCUUUAAAAUUGAACUCUAGCUUCCUUUACCACGUGGAGAGGGACCCGAGGUAACGUGUAAAACCGAUUAGGAGUCAAGCAUUCAAUUCAAGUGGGGGGAUGCUAAAUCUCGGAACCACAGGAAAGUCAGAGGAACAAAAUAAUUCAUGUUCCCUUUGUUUCCCCACAAACACCCUAAGCUGCGGACUGGAACCGGUGUUCCUCAUACCAUAAUUCCCACAUUUGCAACCCCUUGGUUUCAUAAGCAGCUCACUUACAUAAUUGGGAGAAGUUUCACAGAUUUUCUUUCACAUGCAGAACUAGGUUUGUUUGAGACAAGCUCUCACUAGGUAGCUCCCUCUGGCUUUGAAUUUGCUAUGUAGACCAGGCUGGCCUUGAAGUCCUAGAGAUUGACUUGCCUCUGCCUCUGAAUGCUGGGAUUAAAGAAGAGCAUUGCUGUACACAGUCAGAUUCUUACAAAAGCAAAUGCCCGCAGAGCAGAAGGUAGACUGACUGGGAGACGGGAGCAGUGAAGGAGGAAGGAGAGGCGCUACCAAGGGGAGGAGAUGGGUGAGCACGAGCCAAGCACAGUGCCACAGAAUUAUGAAACUGUCACAAUGGGACAUUAUUUGGUUAAAAAAAAAUUACCCUUCAAAACAAUGAGAUUGACCGUAAAUGACUGUUCAACAUUUCUAGGGAUCAGGUGACUUGGCAGCAUCCUGGGGACCGCCAACGCUAAAGGUGACUCCAGGGCUGGAGUCCAGAGCUCAGGAAGAAAAUGAUCUCUGAGAAAUGUGGGUCUGUGAGAGGUGGAGGAAGACCUGAGCUUGGUACCAAUAACAGACGGA